GACGAACGCUGGCGGCGUGCUUAACACAUGCAAGUCGAACGGAAAGGCCCUGCUUUUGUGGGGUGCUCGAGUGGCGAACGGGUGAGUAACACGUGAGUAACCUGCCCUUGACUUUGGGAUAACUUCAGGAAACUGGGGCUAAUACCGGAUAGGAGCUCCUGCUGCAUGGUGGGGGUUGGAAAGUUUCGGCGGUUGGGGCUGGACUAGCGGCGUAUCAGCUUGUUGGUGGGGUAGUGGCUUACCAAGGCUUUGAAGGGUAGCCGGCCUGAGAGGGUGAUCGGCCACAGUGGCACUGAGACAAGGGCGAGAGUCAUAAGGGAGCAAGACGUAGGGAAUAGUCCGCACUGGGCGGAAGAAGGACGGAGGAACGCCGCGUGAGGGACGACGGUCGUCGGAUCGUAAAAGUAUGUGAUUAGGGAAGAAAAUAUGUGUCAGUAAAUGUGCACACCUUGACGGUACAUAAUAAGAAAGACACGGCUAACUACGUG
rnacentral:rRNA from 1 species